rnacentral:misc_RNA from 1 species
CCAAUAGCGUAUAUUAAAGUUGUUGUGGUUAAAAAGCUCGUAGUUGAACCUUGGGCCUGGCUGGCCGGUCCGCCUCACCGCGUGUACUGGUCCGGCCGGGCCUUUCCCUCUGUGGAACCCCAUGCCCUUCACUGGGUGUGGCGGGGAAACAGGACUUUUACUGUGAAAAAAUUAGAGUGCUCCAGGCAGGCCUAUGCUCGAAUACAUUAGCAUGGAAUAAUAGAAUAGGACGUGUGGUUCUAUUUUGUUGGUUUCUAGGACCGCCGUAAUGAUUAAUAGGGACAGUCGGGGGCAUCAGUAUUCAAUUGUCAGAGGUGAAAUUCUUGGAUUUAUUGAAGACUAACUACUGCGAAAGCAUUUGCCAAGGAUGUUUUCAUUAAUCAGGAACGAAAGUUAGGGGAUCGAAGACGAUCAGAUACCGUCGUAGUCUUAACCAUAAACUAUGCCGACUAGGGAUCGGACGGUGUUAUUUUUUGACCCGUUCGGCACCUUACGAGAACCAAAGUGUUUGGGUUC